GCGUCAGGUCUUACGUCGUUGUCAUUUUUGCAAAAAAGUCCCUCUGUUUCUGAGAAAUUAACCCGUGGUCCUCAUCAUAAGUCACGCCGAACCGGUAUACGGGCGAGAAAAAAAAACAGCCCAGCCAGCCGCACGACUCUGCCUCACGCCCCCACCUCCUGCCCGCCCGCCUCACCGUGCGCCCCUGGCCACCCCCCGCUGUCGAGCACCGCCACCGGCUACCCUCCUCCCAUCAGGACCCCGAGCGCCCGACCCGGCCUUUGUUCGUCGCCAGCACCUGCGGAUCCGGCCGCCCUCGCCUUCCCCGUCGGUUGCACCUCCCAGCGCUGCCGCCCCUGCCAAGCUCCGCCGUCUGGAUCCACAUCCCCACGGCCGGAACGAGUCCUCCUCGAGGAGCCGCGCAUCCUCUACCUGCUCCAACUGCGCACGUCCUCUGCUAGGUCGACUUCCUGCUAGGUCAGAUCUGCUCCAACUUGAGCGCCCCCCCAAUCUUUUCUUCCCCGAUCCAGUGGGAUUUCCAUGAGUGUCAUGCAACAAAUCGGGAAGCAGCAGGGCCCGUCUGGCUGGUGCUAGAGUGAUGAAUUUGUUGAACUAGGUAAAGCUGUAGAUGUCAAACAUGCUCUGAACUUUACUGCACAAGUAUUCGACAGCAUGGUUCUAUUAGUGACCGAGGGAUUUGGAGGUACAGGUACUGAAGGGUAAUGGAUUUGAAGGUUGCUAUAUCUUGAGUUGUCCCAUUGUCUUACUAAAUUCAGGAUUCAACUUAGGAGAGUGUACAGAAUAUGCAGGUUUGUAUUGUUUCCGGUGUAUGUUGGUCAUGCAUCGAAUGUCACUCAGUUUCUAGGAAAUUCAAGAUGGCAUGUAAGCUUCUCCUAUUUGAUGUAUUUUUACUUUCUCAAAAUCUCUUUAUUAAUACCAAUGAUGAUUUUAUUUCUGCCUGAUGACUUGCUGUCAUAUUGUUUAGCAAAGAAACAGACAAACAAGGAGAGAAAACUUAAACAAGAGAGAUGUAUGAGGAUGUCAGCGUCUCAUCAAACAUGUAUUGUGUGAGGACACCCUUCGUCCGACCUAAUCUUGACGAUCAUCUGUAGGUACACACAUACAUGUUCUUCCCGGCCGCCUCUUGGUUUAGUUCACAUGUCUUGAAUUACUUUGAUUCUUUUGGUAACAUCAAACUGGGUUGCAUAGAAGUAACUGCUACUGGGUUUGACCUUUGUGAGGAAUCUACAGCAGCACUUCGAAACUCCCAGGCUGUUUUCAUCAGCAAGCUUACAGCUGACCACAUGAUGGAACUCGAUAAUACUACACUGUACGAUGUACUUGAGAUUCCAAUGAAUACCCGUCGAAGCGAUGUGGUCAUCAGCAUGUAUGCUCUCAAUCUCCUGCUAGGGUAUUUUCUUUUAAACGAUGCUACUGUCACAUGAUGCAUAUCAUGGUUUUGUUGUGUGGUAAUUUGACCUGCACAACACUUGUUGCUAUUAUCCUUUCGAGGAUGCAGAAUGAUUCUUCAAUUUGGGGUGCCAACUAUGCUAGCUUUAUAUUGCUGAAUGUAGGAGCUUAUUUUUUCUUGUUAGUUAUUCAAUGAUAUUGGGCAGGGCAUCUCAAUGAACUAUUCUUUCUAAUUCCUGGAGUUACAUGUGUGAUUGCUUAGACUCUUCUAAUAGUGUCAUAGUCUGGUUGGUUGCUUGGCUGAAAUAGUUUCUUACGGGCCUCGUUCUGGACCUGUUCCCAUGUAUAUAGAAUAUAUUUUCUACUGCUUUCAUCAAACAAAAAAGUCAUAAACAUUAAAUAUUUAAAGUUUUGUCUCGUUCAUACUUUCUAGAAUUUGAAACUGUACUGAAAUCAUCAUAGAAAUUCCGCAAGAAUAUUAAAGGCACCCGUGUCAUUCAUCCCUACUAGAUGAUGAAUGCUAUUGCUAAUUUUUUUGUCUCAAAGAUGCCUCAUUUUCAUGAAGAAGAAAGCUCAGUAGACCAAAAUUCCAUAUCAUUUCUUCUUUCUUAAGGAAAACUGACUGCAGGCAGCAAUCACAGAUGUUCAGCCUAUUUUCAGUUGACAAUAUACUGAAUAAUUUGGCAGUGAACAAGUACAGAAAACUCUGUUAAGAAGCGAUAGUUUUGAACCUGGGUUUAUAAAAGAAAAUGUACCAAUUCGUGUUGAAAAUAUCUUAGGCAUCAAGUCCACCAGGUUUGAGAUGUUCACAGAAACAUGUCAGUUUCAGGCAACUACAAUUCAGAAUUGUUUGCCACACUAUAACGUUUCAGGAAAUCAGAAACAUUUCCCAUGAUGUUAAUAUGUUGACUAGGGGCCUUUUGUAGCUACUUUAAUGAAAAUUGUAGUACCACAGUGUCCUGCUGCAUAUAUUAAAUUGCAAAGGGAAAGUAAUAAAACUUAGGACUUGGUUGUCUAUCUGAUCCAUCAGUAAGCAAGCAGGGGCCAUGUUGUCAAGGAACAGAGUUCAAAAACCACCAAUCUCAGGAACACUCUGACCAUGUAUUUGAUUCUGUUAAAGACCCAAUAUAUGAUAAGAUGCUAUUUUCAUUUGCUAGGCAACCAUGAAAACGUUUCUGUCCAAUUCAUAAUUUAAAUUAGUCAUGUGUGUUCUUUUAUCCAGUUAUUACAAUUUUACUCAUGUGUCUUCUUUUAUUUAGUUAUGUGAGGAAGAAGGGAUUACAUCGAUGUGUAAUAUGUUCUUUGUUCUACAGACAUACCUACAUGGGAUUAUAGUUCAGUUAGAAAUCUAAGAUUAUUUUCCUCUAGAAAUGAGCAUUAGCCCUCAGAACAGAAACGAACUGCACAACUAUGCUCCUACUUAAUUACGUAUUAAUCAAUAUGUUCAUUAUUACAGUAAGGUUAGAAACUGCAUUUGUGUAUUUGUACCAAGCUUCCUUGCUCAUCUCAUUCUGUGCCUACCAUGUUGUAUGUCGGAAAGCAGUGGUUUUGAUAUAGAGCUAUAGUUCAUCUAUAUGUUUCUGCUGCCUAUAUAUUAUUGAUGUGUUUCCCUCACCUGCUAUUUGAAUGACAUAAUCCUUCAGAUCUUUCCCAAAUUUUGUGUUAAAGCUAACAAGACCCCCCCCCUUCCUGUAAAUACAACUUUGAAUGAAGGAAAGCAAUACAGGGCCGCCUUUAUAUCUUAGGUCACUCCAUAGCAGGGAGCAAGAGUGGGCACAUCUGAGUUCAGAUAUUCAGUCACUGUUUUCCAAUCCAUCUCAAGCUCCACAGGUCCUUUGGAAACUUUUGCCAGAGCAGCCAAACCAGGGCUAUCCGGGCUUCAGCUUCCUCCACACUGUCGGAAACUGGUAACUCACAGUCUAUAAUAUGCAUGCUUUGCCGGUUCCCUGCAAGCACUUUCGGCCAUGACCUCAAGUUCUGCAGCUAGGCCGUGAAUGUUUUGAUCCUUCUCACCGUCCACCGAUGAUGGCCCGACAGAAAUCAGGGAAGGAGAAAAGGAUGUUUUUGUCAUGGUCGUCGGAACGACUUGCCGUGGAUGCAGUCAUGCACUGGAUGACAUCAACGGCUAGCCAUGGACGAGCACCUCGCCGCCUCCAUAAAAUAUGGAUGCACGGGAUUCUGCUACUAACAUUUCAGUGUGUUUUGUUGCGGUGCUGUGACAUAUACACCUUCAGCGCGCAUGUAAUGUUUGUCAGCUACUACUUUAGAUAAAUAACCACUGUAUUCUAUUGUAUUUGUAAUUGAAAUGUUCAUAUGUGUUUAACCAUCUGGCAAAGAGGCUCACUGGAUGUUUCUUAUAAUAUUCUAUCUGUAAUAGACAUGUACGCAUGUAUUUAACCAUCUGGCAAAGAGGCUCAUUGGAUGUUUCAAA